AUACGGAGGAUGCAAGCGUUAUCCGGAUUUAUUGGGUUUAAAGGGUGCGCAGGCGGAACAUUAAGUCAGUGGUGAAAUCUUACCGCUUAACGGUAAAAUUGCCAUUGAUACUGAUGUUCUUGAGUGCAGUUGAGGUAGGCGGAAUGUGUAAUGUAGCGGUGAAAUGCUUAGAUAUUACACAGAACACCGAUUGCGAAGGCAGCUUACUAAACUGUUACUGACGCUGAGGCACGAAAGCGUGGGGAGCGAACAGGAUUAGAUACCCCAGUAGUCC
rnacentral:rRNA from 1 species